rnacentral:rRNA from 1 species
GAUGAACGCUGGCGGCGUGCCUAAUACAUGCAAGUCGAGCGACCAGACGAGGAGCUUGUUCCUCUGACGUUAGCGGCGGACGGGUGAGUAACACGUGGAUAACCUACUUCUAAUACUGGGAUAACUUCGGGAAACCGGAGCUAAUACCGGAUAAUAUAUUGAACGGCAUGGUUCAAUAGUGAAUGACGGUUUUGCUGUCUCUUAUAGAUGGAUUCGCGCCGCAUUAGCUAGUUGGUAAGGUAACGGCUUACCAAGGCAACGAUGCGUAGCCGACCUGAGAGGGUGAUCGGCCACACUGGAACUGAGACACGGUCCAGACUCCUACGGGAGGCAGCAGUAGGGAAUCUUCCGCAAUGGGCGAAAGCUUGACGGAGCAACGCCGCGUGAGUGAUGAAGGUCUUCGGAUCGUAAAACUCUGUUAUUAGGGAAGAACAAAUGUGUAAGUAACUAUGCACGUCUUGACGGUACCUAAUCAGAAAGCCACGGCUAACUACGUG